UAUUUAUCAUAUGAAAUAUGUGGUUAAAAUUAAUUAUUGACUAAGAUUUUAUCACCACAACACGCAAACAUUAAACUCCACAUAAGUUAGUUGACGAAUAAAAGUCUUAUUAGCUCUGUAUUGAAACAACUCACACUUCAACAGCAUAUAGCAGACACGAAUGCAAUGAUAGACACAAAACACGAUUUUGAGGAGUUGUGAACCUAUUUUGCCGACAUCUUCAACAAAAAUAAUAAAUCUAUAUUUGGCUCAUGUUUAUAAAUUGGAUAUCUAUUUAUCAUUUAUAAAUAAAUACUUUCCAAAUGCAUUGAAAGUGAAUCUCUGCAACUAAUUAUUCACAGAUUUAUAAUAAUACCCAAAUUAUUGAAACCUAACUACAGAGGUUCAUCUAACGUUAGGUGAAUACGAAGAAGAGCCGAUGGCGCGCGCCUAGCACAUGCCCGAUAUGUUAGGUAGGUCUGGACAUUUGCGUGUGGACCCUGCCUUCUGUUUUGAUUCAAUUGUCAAAUUCAAAGAACUUGAAAUUUCAAAAUCACUUUAAAUCCUUCCUGUGAUAUUUCACUGUCGGUGUCAUUUUCUUUAAAUCUUUUGUUUUUGUGCAGGUACAUCAACCAAUACCAAAUGGUAUUUGUAUAUCAUUAGGUUCGAGUUCGACUCGAGUAAAAUGUUCCGAACUUUUUUGCGAGCUCAAGUCGAACUUUCGCUCGGCCAAGAAAUCAAGGCUCAGCCCAAGCUUCCAACUCAGGGCCUUACCGAGCCGAGAUCCUUUUAUUAUUAUAAUAUUAUGCUACGUAAAAAAGGCAACACAUUGCAAGUGUCACCUUAAAAAAGCAGCAGCACGCUGCGUGUUGGAUUUUUUUUUUUUUUAGGCCUGUGAACCCAAGCUGGGAAAUCACACGGGCCAGCUAGGGCUCGGCCUGAUACCCCGAGACGCGCCCUGAGCCUCAAGCUAAGCCGAGCCAUUGGCAGCUCGAGUCGACAAGCUUAAUUGUCAUUCCUAAACACAAGAGACUACUAUGUAUUUUCAUUUUAAGCGUGCUCAAGUUGAGUUGAUUUGACUGUAUCCCAAUUUUCAUCUCGGGUAUGAUUUAGUUAAAUUUUAAAGAGGCUAACCCUUUACAUGCAUCUGAACAUUGAACUUGUGAAUAUUAAGAGCCUGUCAG
rnacentral:lncRNA from 1 species